CAAAAAACUCAUCUUCUCCCACCUUUCAAUCAGAUUCAAACGGACAGCAACAAUUCGUACGGCUUGGCUAAGCACAUAGAGAUCAAAGAAAUUACCCACACAGACCGUCCAUCAAGGUUGCCAGCUUCUUGAAAGAGGGCUUUCAAUUUUUGUUGCAGUUGCUUGAGGAGCCAUUGAUAAUGGCGGCUCUGAAGGACCUCCUGCCUCCAGUUAAGUCAACUACAUCAACCUAUUAUGAUCAUUCAAAUGAUCCAUGGUUUAAACAACGUUUCAGCUCAUCUGAGGCAGAGCAAACCACUGUUGUCGCUCAUAAACAAGUGCCUCCCUACUUAGAGCGUAAAGGUUUUAUUCCCCGGAGAGUGGAGGAUUUUGGGGAUGGGGGUGCUUUCCCUGAGAUUCAUAUCGCCCAAUACCCUCUUGAUAUGGGUAGGAAUAAAUCUGCAAA
rnacentral:misc_RNA from 1 species